rnacentral:rRNA from 1 species
ACAUGCAGUCGAGCGGAUGAGUGGAGCUUGCUCCAUGAUUCAGCGGCGGACGGGUGAGUAAUGCCUAGGAAUCUGCCUGGUAGUGGGGGACAACGUUUCGAAAGGAACGCUAAUACCGCAUACGUCCUACGGGAGAAAGCAGGGGACCUUCGGGCCUUGCGCUAUCAGAUGAGCCUAGGUCGGAUUAGCUAGUAGGUGAGGUAAAGGCUCACCUAGGCGACGAUCCGUAACUGGUCUGAGAGGAUGAUCAGUCACACUGGAACUGAGACACGGUCCAGACUCCUACGGGAGGCAGCAGUUGGGAAUAUUGGACAAUGGGCGAAAGCCUGAUCCAGCCAUGCCGCGUGUGUUAAGAAGGUCUUCGGAUUGUAAAGCACUUUAAGUUGGGAGGAAGGGCAGUAAGUUAAUACCUUGCUGUUUUGACGUUACCAACAGAAUAAGCACCGGCUAACUUCGUGCCAGCAGCCGCGGUAAUACGRAGGGUGCAAGCGUUAAUCGGRAUUACUGGGCGUAAAGCGCGCSUAGGUGGUUCAGCAAGUUGGAGGUGAAAUCCCCGGGCUCAACCUGGGAACUGCCUCCAAAACUACUGAGCUAGAGUACGGUAGAGGGUAGUGGAAUUUCCUSUGUAGCGGUGAAAUGCGUAGAUAUAGGGAGGGACACCAGUUGCGAAGGCGACUACCYKGACUUAUACUGACACUUAGGUGCGAAACGU